rnacentral:rRNA from 1 species
UUCGGGAUGGGACUAAGACAUGCUAGUCGUGCGCUUCUAAGCCAUGGUGGAGGCGCGGCGCACAGCUCAGUAACACGUGGUUAACCUGCCCUUGGGACGGAAACACCCCCGGGAAACUGGGGCUAAUUUCCGAUAGGUGAAGACUCCUGGAAUGGAUCUUCGCCUAAAGGGCGCUUAGGCCAUGCUUCUAGGCGCUGCCCAAGGAUGGGACCGCGGCCGAUCAGGUUGUUGGUGAGGUAAUGGCUCACCAAGCCUUUAACCGGUUCGGGCCGUGGGAGCGGGAGCCCGGAGAUGGGCACUGAGACAAGGGCCCAGGUCCUACGGGGCGCAGCAGUCGCGAAAACUCCGCAAUACGCGAAGGCGUGACGGGGCUAUCCCGAGUGCCGUCCGCUGAGGAUGGCUUUUCCCCAGUGUAGAUAGCUGGGGGAAUAAGGAGAGGGCAAGUCUGGUGUCAGCCGCCGCGGUAAUACCAGCUCUCCGAGUGGUGGGGACGUUUAUUGGGCCUGAAGCAUCCGUAGCCAGCUGAGCAAGUCCCCAGUUAAAUCCAGCGAUUUAAUCGUUGGACUGCUGGGGAUACUG